rnacentral:rRNA from 1 species
AUUGAACGCUGGCGGCAGGCCUAACACAUGCAAGUCGAACGGUAACAGGAAGCAGCUUGCUGCUUCGCUGACGAGUGGCGGACGGGUGAGUAAUGUCUGGGAAACUGCCUGAUGGAGGGGGAUAACUACUGGAAACGGUAGCUAAUACCGCAUAACGUCGCAAGACCAAAGAGGGGGACCUUAGGGCCUCUUGCCAUCGGAUGUGCCCAGAUGGGAUUAGCUAGUAGGUGGGGUAACAGCUCACCUAGGCGACGAUCCCUAGCUGGUCUGAGAGGAUGACCAGCCACACUGGAACUGAGACACGGUCCAGACCCCUACGGGAGGCAGCAGUGGGGAAUAUUGCACAAUGGGCGCAAGCCUGAUGCAGCCAUGCCGCGUGUAUGAAGAAGGCCUUCGGGUUGUAAAGUACUUUCAGCGGGGAGGAAGGGAGUAAAGUUAAUACCUUUGCUCAUUGACGUUACCCGCAGAAGAAGCACCGGCUAACUCCGUG